CUUGACCGAGCCCAGCCACAGCGGCCUGUCGCCGGAGCGGCCCUGCCCGUACGUCGCGAGGAGCGCCUGUGCCUC
rnacentral:antisense_RNA from 1 species